AUUGUGCACAGUAUGGACCUG
rnacentral:piRNA from 1 species